GCUAUUAUUAUUCAGUGGUAGAGCAUCUGCUUCGCAUGCAGAAGAUCACAGGUUCAAUCCCUGGCAUCUCCA